AUGAUCUCCCAGACUCAGCUUCUCUGGCUCCUUGUGCUCUGCAUUCAGGACUCCAGUGGGCAGAUCGUGCUGACUCAGACUCCAGAAUCCCUGGCAGUGUCUCCAGGAGACAGAGUCACCAUCAACUGCAAAGCCAGUUCCAGUGUUGGUGGUGCUAUAGCCUGGUACCAACAGAAAUCAGGACAAGCUCCUAAGCUCCUUAUCUAUGAUGCUUCCACCCGUGCCUCUGGGAUCCCAGACCGGUUCAGCGGCAGUGGGUCGGGCACUGACUACACAUUCACCAUCAGCAGGGUAGAAGCGGAUGAUGCUGGAGAUUAUUACUGUCAGCAUUAUUACGGCUACCCUUUCACACAGUGA